rnacentral:rRNA from 1 species
UACGUAGGUAGCGAGCGUUAUUCGGAUUUACUGGGCGUAAAGGGUCCGCAGGAGGCCUGCCAAGUCUGAUGUGAAAGCCCAUGGCUCAACUAUGGAACUGCAUCGGAAACUGGCGGGCUCGAGUGCACGAGGGGAAAGCGGAAUUCCAGGUGUAGCGGUGGAAUGCGUAGAUAUCUGGAGGAACACCGAUGGCGAAGGCGGCUUUCUGGCGUGCAACUGACUCUCAUGGACGAAAGUGUGGGUAGCAAACAGG